CCCCCUCAAGAUGAGAUUUCCCAACUUCGGUUAUAAGAUCCCUCAAAGAUGAUGAGGUUAAUAGGUUCGAGGUGGAAGCAUGGUGACAUGUGGAGCUGACGAAUACUAAUCGAUCGAAGACUUAAUCAAAA
rnacentral:rRNA from 1 species